GUACAUCCAGAGCACCUGUGCAACAUCUGGAGAGGGUCUAUACGAGGGUUUAGACUGGCUUUCCAACAAUAUUGCUAGCAAGGCAUGAGGCAGUUGAGGUUUUCGGCUGUCAGACUCUGGACUGUGGGUGAAGUUUGGCGCUGAUAGGGGUAUAGUUCGUUUUUCUCAAGAAGUGUCGUUAGCAGCAGAACAGUUUGCCAGACUUCUAUAUGUACUCUCUGUUUGUAUACUUGCGACUUGAUCUAAAAUUAUCUAACCUUGUUAUAGUUUCUUUGGGAAGUUAACCUUGUCAUAGUUUCCUUGUGAUCAUACUAUUUUGCUUUUUAAGAUCUCCAUUGUCUCUCUGC
rnacentral:misc_RNA from 1 species